rnacentral:rRNA from 1 species
GACGAACGCUGGCGGCGUGCUUAACACAUGCAAGUCGAACGGAAAGGCCCUGCUUUUGUGGGGUGCUCGAGUGGCGAACGGGUGAGUAACACGUGAGUAACCUGCCCUUGACUUUGGGAUAACUUCAGGAAACUGGGGCUAAUACCGGAUAGGAGCUCCUGCUGCAUGGUGGGGGUUGGAAAGUUUCGGCGGUUGGGGAUGGACUCGCGGCUUAUCAGCUUGUUGGUGGGGUAGUGGCUUACCAAGGCUUUGACGGGUAGCCGGCCUGAGAGGGUGACCGGCCACAUUGGGACUGAGAGACGGCCCAGACUCCUACGGGAGGCAGCAGUGGGGAAUAUUGCACAAUGGGCGGAAGCCUGAUGCAGCAACGCCGCAUGCGGGAUGACGGCCUUCGGGUUGUAAACCGCUUUCGCCUGUGACGAAGCGUGAGUGACGGUAAUGGGUAAAGAAGCACCGGCUAACUACGUG